AAUUUCUUUUAUCUUUUUUAAUUUUCGAAAUUCCUUUUUUUUUUUUGGGUCGAUUCUAUUGUUAUUGCUGCUGAAUUCCAUUCUGGUUUCUUGUUUCUCUGGUUUCUAAAGUAAUAAUUUUGUUUCGUAAUCUGUCUUCAUUUUCUUGGAGUAAUUGCCUUCUCUUCAUAUACAUUAAUCGAUUUUGUUUGUGUAAUGGAAGAUUAGUUUGUAAUAAUUCACAUAUACUGCAAUCUUUCUCAAGUACUCCCUGACUCUUAAGUUGCUAGAGUCAAAUAGAAGCCAAGAUUUGAUUUUGGCUAACAGAAGAUUGUCUUUCUUGUAGAUAAUUAGAGUAUUAGUUGUUAAUUUUAUGAAAUCUCAAUGCUUGUAGAUAUGAGAGACCAAUGUGCAUGCUAAGGUAUUACAAUAAAAUGGAAUGCUUGCCAUUAGAGAGCUUGUAGUACUCCUGUUUUUAUUGUUGCAUCUCUUUCGUUAUUGUGUCCAUAACGAAUGUUUUGGUUAAGGCAUGUUCUAUCUUCAUUGACAUUUUAAGUUUCAUUGUGGGAAGAAGUGUUUCUUUAGAGGCAAAACCCAUAUGAAAGCUCAGUUUGAUCCUUGCAAAAUGAUCCCUCUUCAUUGCAGAAUAGGUUGGUGAUACAAUGAGCCGGCCAACUACGGGCAGAAAAAAUAAAAGAUACAGACAAGGGGCAGUGUUAAUUUUACUUCUGAAAUAAUGAGGAAAAUUCAUGCAACUGGUGAAAUAACCAUUGAUGAUGUAAAUUAAUUGCACAUGAUCCUGAAGCCACUUGUCAAGGCUGCCGUGUGAACAAUAUAGAUAAUUUGUGAGUUGAUUCCACCACUCAAUGGUAGUUGGAGAUCUGGAUUAUGGCAGAAAAUUUCAGAUAUUGAGCAAGCCCUUGGUCCAGAUCCAUGCAAAGAUCUUCAUGAUUCUGUUGAUUCACCUGCUGGCCUCACAAAUCUGGGAGCAACAUGCUAUACAGACAGCAUGCUUCAAUGUCUUUACAUCAUUAACUAUUUCCGAGAAGGGGAUCAGCUCACUUGGAUUUUUGCACAGUUGCAUUCUAGUAAAAUGGUUUUAUUGGUUCAGCUCCAUUUAUAAAGACACUGGAAUUGGAUAAUGGACUUCAGCAGGAUAGCCAUGUCCUUGAUGUUACUUCUUUCCUUGCUUGAACCUAAGCCAUUCUAAAGUUUUCACAGUGAGAACUGUCAUUUAAGAUCUCUCCAAUGCUAAUACAACCCCCAAUUUUCUCUCCUUGAGACCUUUAAACAAGAAUUUUGCUGUUUGCUAGUAGUUCAGUUUUCUCAUAUCGACUGUCAACUUUGAAUGUUCAUUAGAAGAUGCAGUCAAAUAUUAACUUAAUUUGACUGGUGUUUCUAAAUUCUGCUAGAUCUGUGAAUACUGCAUAGGUGAACGAGAAAGUUGUAACUUGAUGUAGAAACUUGCUAGUCCAAUGAGGAUAUAAAUGUAUCUCUUAUACAUGUUAAGGAAGCUCCAAGAUCAAUCUAGAAGCAUCUGAGACUGCUUCUGACCCUGAUCAAUGGGCCUCCAAACACUUUCGAAAUACCGGCUAUAGGACUUCAUUAAAGUAUUUCUGGUACUACAUCAAUAUAGCAGCUAAAAAUGAAGACAUGGGAAUCACUUGGAUGAGCUUGCUGAUCAGAAAAUGACUGCACAGUAUGCUGAGGAAGAGUUCCAGAGAACUCUUCUGACUGCAAAUAUUUUCUCACAAGUUGUUUAAGAUGUAUGCUGAAACUAGAAGUCUUCAUCUCAGUUACCAGUUUGUACGGAUUAUGGGACAGGAAACAACUUCAAUUGUUUGACCUGCCUAUCGGAGAACCAGCAGUUGGGCCUAGUGUUUUUGGCAUUCUGCUUUGUGAAAGGGUGGUCCAGUACUAAUGUAGUGCUCCCAAAGUAUUUUAUAACAUUGGUGUUUAGAUAUGUAUUGCCUCAUUCUGCACUACUGCCCAACACUUAAAAAGGAAAUGAAAAACACAGCAUGAGCUGGUUCCAUGCUGUGCCACAUUUCAGUUGCCUAGUUCUUCUGUGGUCCUCGCUAGUUUUGCUAGAAUCAUGCCUAGGGACGUGUCGUCCAUUUAUUCAUUGGAUAAUGGAGCGAAAAUACUGUAUUGCUUCGGAUCUUGCCAAGGGUGAUUAAAAAAAGCCUACGAAUUUAAUAAAGAAAAAUCUCCCUCGGAGUUCCCAGCCCUCCAGGGACUUGGUACUGCGCAUAUGAUUCAGGACCAGGUGAAUUCGUAGAAGAUCAACACCUGAAGUGGUAAAUGCCUAGCUAUUUGGUAAUGGUUUUAAGCGAUUUUUCCUGCCGACGAUCAGUUAUAUUGAAAUGACAAAGUGAAAGGACAGAAAUUUAUCAUUAUUACUGCAAAAA